AGCUUGUGUGGCGUGUGUGAGGUCCAGGUAGGUCCCAGGUAUCAGUUGUAACCAAAAACAUGAGUUACUCAACAACCAGAAGUAUAAAACCUGUGCUAAAACCUUGCCAAAGGUCCUUGUCUGAAGAGACCACUGAGCUGGUGCUCUGGGACCUAGACCCUAGCUUAAGCUGGCUUAAACAAACCUCCAUUUGUUGCUUACGUUGGUGUGAGCUUGUUACUCUGACAUUCUGUUCUGGGAUACAGAAUUCUUGGACACAACAUUUGGGGGCUCGUCCGGGAUUCCCAUAUUUCAGGACAGAAUUAGAGUAAAGGAGGUUAGAAUCCUCGAUAGGACCGACAAGGGACCUAGGCGGAUGCGCUGGUGAGUCGUUGGUCAGGGUCAGGAGGAGAUGUCCACUGAUCCUGGAGAGACUCCCUGUAGGCAACCUUGUAGCCCAGGGCUUGGUCGAGAGGGAGUCGAGGAAGAGGUCCGGACUAGGUUGGUGUUUGUGUGUCUUGUCGUCUCAUCUUAUUUGGUUUGGUUGAUGUUGAUGUUCUGUGCGUAUUCCUCCCCUUAAUGGCUCAAGAUCUUUCUUUAGGACAACCAGAACAGGACCAGAGCGAGACCAGUGCGAGUGUCCUCUUUGUAAAAUGAAGAAGCAGUGGAAGUCAGGUGACAAGAAGUCACCCGUGACAGUGCCCAAGCAGACAACUUAACUGUCCCUAAUUUCUUUCUUGCAGGCAUGGGACGGCCCCUCUCUACACCUCUGUCUAUCCUAGCGAGCCAUUUUAAGGAUGUGAGGGCCAGAGCACACGACCUCUCCUUAGAGGUCAAGAAAGGAAAAUUUGUCACUCUGUGUGAGGCAGAGUGGCCCGCCUUUGGGCUUGGAUGGCCGCAGGAAGGAUCUUUCCAUGCCUCCCUCAUUGAGGUGAAGGAGGUAGUUUUGGGCCAUCACGGCCAUCUGGACCAAAUUCCUUACAUGAUAGUGUGGCAGGACUGGGUCCAGGAUCCGCCACCCUGGCUAAAAACGAUCCUGCCCGCCUCCAAAGAAAAAGCAAAGAUUUUUGUCGCUAGAAAUGCUAAGGAGAAGAAUAAAGGUGGGCAGAAACCCUCCAUGGGCUCACCACGGGUUCUGCCUGACUCCAAUUUGUAUCCAGACCUUACAGGUUUAGAAUGGAAUAAGCCCCCACCAUAUAACCCUGGGGCAGCCCCUGCUGCUCCUGCAGCUCAGGAGAGCACAGGACCGCCGGCAGAGGGACCAGCCUACGGGACCAGGCACUGGACUGGCCAGACCCCAGAUCCAGAACCCGUAAAGCCACUCCCUCUGCAAGGACCUCCUGGGGUGGAUGGGGGGCAGGCAUGCCAGUAUUGGCCCUUCUCCACUAGUGACCUCUACAACUGGAAGUCCCAGAAUGCCAAUUUUCCCAAAAACCCCGAGGGCCCUGAUUAACCUUUUAGAUUCUGUCCUUUACACGCACCAGCCCACAUGGGACGACUGUCAACAGUUGCUUAAGGUCCUCAUCACAACUGAAGAGAGAGAAUCCAAGGAGAGGCACAGAAGCUGGUUCCGGGAGAGGACAGGAGGACCACCAUCAACCCCCGAGUCAUUGACCAGACCUUUCGCUUAGAGCCACCUUCUUGGGAUUACAACGAGGCUGAAAGUAGGGAGCGUCUCCGGGUCUACCGCCAGACUCUGAUGGCCGGUCUCCGAGCAGCGGCGUGAAAGCCAACCAAUUUGGCCAAGGUUAAUGGGGUAGCAACCUGGAUCCACCACUCCCACGUGAGACUGGCUGGUGAGGACAAGCAAAAGCAACAGCGGAACGAGUAGAGGGCGACAGCAGACCCCAAAAAUCCACUAAAGACCAGGCUGACCCACGUGACAGCUGCGGAGUAUAUGGGACUAUUGACUCAGAUUCUAGUAAAACUGCUGAUCGCCCUUCUAGGACUCGGAUUGGGACUAGUUACCCCAAAGACUUAGACUAAGCUGCAAAGAUGGGGUUUGGUAUUGUUCUAUGUUUCAUACACAAGUGCAUUAUAGAUAUUCUGCUCCUGGACCAAAGUUUUGCAGUUAUAAUUAAUAAUAAAAACCCACAUCUGCCAUAUAAACUCACAUAAAAAAUAACUAACUUAAAAACCCAUGAGGUUUAUAAUUGUAUCUCAGGGACAGAGCCACUAAACACAUGGUGGCCAGACUUAUGUUUUAACCUAAAAUAAAUAAGGCCCGUGAGAGAUGAGCAAACCUCUACCUCGCAUGUAAUAGCCAAAUGAUAUCUUGGUCAUUUGGCUAGCCUGGCUGCAUGGGACCAGAGGGUUUCCAUGAGCCCAUAUGGGUUUUAUGCAUGUCCAGGGUUUAAAAAAAAAAAUGAGACGCACAUGUAAAAAAAAAAAAUCGAGUCCCUCUACUGUGCAGCCUGAAAGUGUGUGACCACAAAUGACAGAGAGUAAAAAUGGCAGGUACAACCUUUUUUUCAUUAAAAUGUCCUAUGUCCAACCUUGCACUAAAAGCAGAUAUGCCAGAGACUGUAACCUGAUACGUGUAAGAUUUACAGAAAAAAAAAAAAAAAGAUAAAAGGUAGAUGUCAGGGCUGUCUUAAAAAAAUAUGCCUCUAUCAAAGGCCAUAUUUCUGCUCCAUAAUACAAAUCAAACUAAAAGUGGCUCGCAUCUAAAAAGUCCUUGACUUCACUAUCCAAAGUAGUACUACAAAACCAGAGAGAACUAGACCUUAGAGGGCUGUGUGCAGCCCUGGGGGGGGGGGAAAUGUUGUUUUCAUGCAGACCAUACAAGAGUAGUCAAAAAAAUCCAUGGUUAAAGUUAGAGAGGGAUUGACAAAGCAAAAACGAGAGAGAGAGCAGAACAAAAGAUGGUUUGAGUCAUGGUUUAAUAGCUCCCCUUGGCUGACUACUCUGCACUCCACUCUACUAGGACCCCUAGUUGUGCUUAUACUCAUUUUAACAUUUGGACCUUGCAUUCUAAAUAGAUUAAUUGCUUUUGUCUAAGAGCGAGCCAAUACCGUACAGCUGAUGGUGUUGAGACAACAACACCAGAGGCUAAAUAGAGACUGCCUGGAGAUGAGUGUUAUGUUAGAUGCAACUUAGGAGCAAGAGUGCUCGUAGGGACAGAAAGAAGGGAGGAAUGUGGGAUACAAGCUAACCGCUAUCUUGGCUUCUGUACCUUAGCUUUUGUAAUUCGCUUGCUUGCUUGCCACUUAGCCUGACUAAAGACAUGACAGGCUUCUACAAAGUAAAAACAACAACAACAACAAAAAAAAA